CUCUUGCCAGUAACAUGGCUCUAAAUUUCUAUAUUACUGCAUUUUAUUCUAUCAAAUUGUUAUACAUGUAUCUGUUUUGUUAAGGGGAACGGUUCCACUUUAGAAAGUUUGUUAUAGAUAAGUUUAGAAAUUUAUUUUUAUUUCAAUGAGGGAACGGUUCCCUCUUACCGGUAACAUGGCUCUCAAUUUCUAAAUUACUGCAUUUUAUUCUAUCAAAUUGUUAUAUCUAUUUUGUUAAGGGGGAAUGGUUCCACUUUAGAAAAUGUAUCAUAGAUAAGUUUUGAAAUUUAUUUUUUAUUUCAAUGAGGGAACGGUUCCCUCUUACCGGUAACAUGGCUCUCAAUUUCUAUAUAUAUUACUGCAUUUCAUUCUAUCAAAUUGUUAUACAUGUUCCAGUUUUGUUAAGGGGGAACGGUUCCACUUUAGAAAAUUUGUUAUGGAUCAGUUUUGAAAUUUAUUUUUUAUUUUGAGGAGGGAACGGUUCCCUCUUACCAUGUAGGCUCUAAAUUUCUAAAUUAUUGCAUUUUAUUCUAUCAAAUUGUUAUAUCUAUUAUGUUAAGGGGGAAUGGUUCCACUUUAGAAAAUGUAUCAUAGAUAAGUUUUGAAAUUUAUUUUUUUAUUUUGAUGAGGGAACGGUUCCCUCUUACGGGUAACCUUGCUCCAAAUUUCUAAAUUAUUGCAUUUUAUUCUAUCAAAUUGUUAUAUCUGUUUUGUUAAGGGGGAACGGUUCCACUUUAGAAAAAGUGUUACAGAUAAGUUUUGAAAUUUAUUUUUUAUUUUGAUGAGGGAAUGGUUCCCUCUUACUGGUAACCUGGCUCUAAAUUCUAAAUUAUUGCAUUUUAUUGUUAUGGGGGAACGGUUCCACUUUAGAAAAUGUGUCGUAGAUAAGUUUUGAAAAUUGUCUUUUAUUUCGAUGAGGGAACGGUUCCCUCUUACUUGUAACCUUGUUCGUAAUUUCUAAAUGAUGGCAUUUUAUUCUAUCAAAUUGUUAUAUAUAUUUUAAGGGGGAACGGUUCCACUCUAGAAAAUGUGUCAUAGAUAAGUUUUUAUUAAAUUUGAAAUUUAUUUUUUAUUUCAAUGAGGGAACGGUUCCCUCUUACCGGUAACAUGGCUCUCAAUUUCUAAAUUAUUGCAUUUUAUUCUAUCAAAUUGUUAUAGGGGGAAUGGUUCCACUUUAGAAAAUGUAUCAUACAUAAGUUUUGAAAUUUAUGUUUUAUUUUAAUGAGGGAACGGUUCCCUCUUACCGGUAACAUGGCUCUCAAUUUCUAUAUUACUGUAUUUCAUUCUAUCAAAUUGUUAUACAUGUUCCAGUUUUGUUAAGGGGGAACGGUUCCACUUUAGAAAAUUUGUUAUAGAUCAGUUUUGAAAUUUAUUUUUUAUUUUGAGGAGGGAACGGUUCCCUCUUACCAUGUAGGCUCUAAAUUUCUAAAUUAUUGCAUUUUAUUCUAUCAAAUUGUUAUAUCUAUUAUGUUAAGGGGGAAUGGUUCCACUUUAGAAAAUGUAUCAUAGAUAAGUUUUGAAAUUUAUUUUUUAUUUUGAUGAGGGAACGGUUCCCUCUUACUGGUAACCUGGCUCUAAAUUCUAAAUUAUUGCAUUUUAUUGUUAUGGGGGAACGGUUCCACUUUAGAAAAUGUGUCGUAGAUAAGUUUUGAAAAUUGUCUUUUAUUUCGAUGAGGGAACGGUUCCCUCUUACUUGUAACCUUGUUCGUAAUUUCUAAAUGAUGGCAUUUUAUUCUAUCAAAUUGUUAUAUAUAUUUUAAGGGGGAACGGUUCCACUCUAGAAAAUGUGUCAUAGAUAAGUUUUUAUUAAAUUUGAAAUUUAUUUUUUAUUUUGAUGAGGGAACGGUUCCCUCUUACCGGUAACAUGGCUCUCAAUUUCUAAAUUAUUGCAUUUUAUUCUAUCAAAUUGUUAUAUCUAUUUUGUUAAGGGGGAAUGGUUCCACUUUAGAAAAUGUAUCAUAGAUAAGUUUUGAAAUUUAUUUUUUAUUUCAAUGAGGGAACGGUUCCCUCUUACCGGUAACAUGGCUCUCAAUUUCUAUAUAUAUUACUGCAUUUCAUUCUAUCAAAUUGUUAUACAUGUUCCAGUUUUGUUAAGGGGGAACGGUUCCACUUUAGAAAAUUUGUUAUGGAUCAGUUUUGAAAUUUAUUUUUUAUUUUGAGGAGGGAACGGUUCCCUCUUACCAUUUACAUGGCUCUAAAUUUCUAAAUUAUUGCAUUUUAUUCUAUCAAAUUGUUAUAUCUAUUUUGUUAAGGGGGAAUGGUUCCACUUUAGAAAAUGUAUCAUAGAUAAGUUUUGAAAUUUAUUUUUUUAUUUUGAUGAGGGAACGGUUCCCUCUUACGGGUAACCUUGCUCCAAAUUUCUAAAUUAUUGCAUUUUAUUCUAUCAAAUUGUUAUAUCUGUUUUGUUAAGGGGGAAUGGUUCCACUUUAGAAAAAGUGUUACAGAUAAGUUUUGAAAUUUAUUUUUUAUUUUGAUGAGGGAACGGUUCCCUCUUACUGGUAACCUGGCUCUAAAUUCUAAAUUAUUGCAUUUUAUUGUUAUGGGGGAACGGUUCCACUUUAGAAAAUGUGUCGUAGAUAAGUUUUGAAAAUUGUCUUUUAUUUCGAUGAGGGAACGGUUCCCUCUUACUUGUAACCUUGUUCGUAAUUUCUAAAUGAUGGCAUUUUAUUCUAUCAAAUUGUUAUAUAUAUUUUAAGGGGGAACGGUUCCACUCUAGAAAAUGUGUCAUAGAUAAGUUUUGAAAUUUAUUUUUUAUUUCGAUGAGGGAACAGUUCCCUCUUACCGGUAACAUGGCUUUAAAUUUCUAUAUUACUGCAUUUCAUUCUAUCAAAUUGUUAUACAUGUACCAGUUUUGUUAAGGGGGAACGGUUCCACUUUAAAAAAUUUGUUAUAGAUCAGUUUUGAAAUUUAUUUUUUAUUUUGAGGAGGGAACGGUUCCCUCUUACCAUUUACAUGGCUCUAAAUUUCUAAAUUAUUGCAUUUUAUUCUAUCAAAUUGUUAUAUCUAUUUUGUUAAGGGGGAACGGUUCCCCUUUAGAAAAUAUGUUAUGAUAAGUUUUGAAAUUUACUUUUUAUUUCGAUGAGGGAAUGGUUCCCCCUUAAGCAUAAUGUAUCUCUUAUUACUGAAAAAUUGCUUUUUAUUUAUCAAAACAUGUUGUAUUCUGUACAUGGCUUUUGUUCUUCGGGGGAACGGUUCCCCCGAAAACAUUUGCAAAAGAAACAAAAAAUAAAAUUUGGAUGUUUA